UACAGAGGGUGCGAGCGUUAAUCGGAAUUACUGGGCGUAAAGAGUGCGUAGGCGGUUCUUGAAGUCCGCUGUGAAAGCCCCGGGCUUAACCUGGGAAUGGCAGUGGAAACUGGAGGACUUGAAUUGAGCAGAGGGGGGUGGAAUGCCGCGUGUAGCAGUGAAAUGCGUAGAGAUGCGGCGGAACACCGAUGGCGAAGGCAGCCCCCUGGGCUUAAAUUGACGCUGAGGCACGAAAGCGUGGGGAGCAAACAGG
rnacentral:rRNA from 1 species